rnacentral:rRNA from 1 species
AACGAACGCUGGCGGCAGGCCUAACACAUGCAAGUCGAACGCCCCGCAAGGGGAGUGGCAGACGGGUGAGUAACACGUGGGAACGUGCCCAAAGGUACGGAACAACUCCGGGAAGCUGGAGCUAAUACCGUAUGUGCCCGAGAGGGGAAAGAUUUAUCGCCUUUGGAUCGGCCCGCGUCUGAUUAGCGAGUUGGUGAGGUAAUGGCUCACCAAGGCGACGAUCAGUAGCUGGUCUGAGAGGAUGGCCAGCCACACUGGGACUGAGACACGGCCCAGACUCCUACGGGAGGCAGCAGUGGGGAAUAUUGGACAAUGGGCGCAAGCCUGAUCCAGCCAUGCCGCGUGAGUGAUGAAGGCCCUAGGGUUGUAAAGCUCUUUCGCCAGGGACGAUAAUGACGGUACCUGGAUAAGAAGCCCCGGCUAACUUCGUGCCAGCAGCCGCGGUAAGAC